rnacentral:rRNA from 1 species
UACGGGGGGGGCAAGCGUUGUUCGGAAUUACUGGGCGUAAAGGGCUCGUAGGCGGCCAACUAAGUCAGACGUGAAAUCCCCAGGCUCAACCUGGGAACUGCGUCUGAUACUGGAUGGCUUGAAUCCGGGAGAGGGAUGCAGAAUUCCAGGUGUAGCGGUGAAAUGCGUAGAUAUCGUUUGGAACGCCAAUGGUGAAAACAGGUUGCUGGGGAUGUGCUGACGCUGAGACACGAAAGCCAGGGGAGCAAACGGG